AGAUCAGCACAGCCUGGAUCCUACCUGGAAUGUCAGCCUCUUACAAAACCAGACUGAGCUGACUAGAGCUCGGUGACCUUCUUCUUCAUCGCCAUCAUCCGAGGAAGACGACGUCCUCUCUGUCGGUCAUUCCGAUAAAAGUGACAACAAGCGGGCGAUAACCUUUCCUCUGUCUUUAAAGUGCAAAUUGGGGAGAAAACAAGUGUCUUGUGUUCUCCAAAGAAAAACACAAAACGUUAGCAUGCAGAUAGCGGCGAUGAGGAUCCAAAUGCUACUGAGCUAAAAGUGAAGCCCGAGCUCGUAGAAGCUAGCCACGCAGAACGACAACAAUGGCCGCAGCCGUGUUAUCAACCAGUGACGGGGCACAAAAAAUCAAUUCACAUCCGAAUGGCAAUUCUUACUCAUUCCUGUUCUAAAUAC